CGGACAGAUGAAUGAAUUUUUUGCCUUAAACAUUUCUUGGUGCAUGGGGUGCAGGCAGGCCAUAACCCCGAACAAGCCAUCUGUCCCUGGCGGAAACAGGACUGGGCUGCUGCGACCCCUGAGAUGGUCUCCCUGCGACCACCCGGAACACACCGAGCCUGCACUGAACGAGACCACAGUCGGGCAGAGACUUUGGGAUCUGUUUUUAGCACAACUUCUAUAAAACUUGCUUGGCAUGAGUGGCUAAAUUUGCUGAAGCCUUAGGCCGCACUCCCUAGUUUGGUGAGAAAGGGCCCCAGAGCUGGUGCAGGCGGGAAUGAUAAGGGAGUUACCAGCAAUUUGCAUUCCUGUGCACUGCUGAAACAGUGCUAAUUGCUGGAGUUACCACCUCUUUGUCAAGACCUUGAGAGAUGAUGGUGGGACCCGAGGAAGGAAGACACACCUAUAGGAAGGAAGACACACCUGUCUGCAGAAACUGCAACAGAAAAGAUAAGGGAGAAAAGAAACAGCCUGCCUAGGAACAACGAUGAGAUCCAAUAAGGAGCAGGAGACCCCAGACUCAAAAAUUACUAUUGGUCUGAACUACCACGUGGGGGGGUGGGAAACUUAAUUUGAAAAAGCUAUAAUUGCCCAGGGACCUCUUUGUUCAGGGUCCCUCUUUGGAGGUACCCAACUCGAGCUGUAACCACUGCACGCGUGUCAUUCCGAGCUAACCUAGGGUCGGACCCAACUCGAGUUGUAAUUACUGCACGCGCACCACCAAAACUUACACCCAGGGUGAAGAGGAGCCACCUACCACCAGACGGGAGCCCCCCCCACUGCCGAGACUCCCAAAGGAAGAGGACCAACAGGACGCCGCUGGAUCCACGGCCUGAGGACCAAGAGCGUUUUGCCUUCACGUGGGAGAGACAGCAAUACAAGUUCACUCAACUACCUCAGGGGUACAAGCAUCCCCCUACGCUAGCACAAGAGCUCGAAACUGUCCCCAUACAGGUGGGAGUCAAAAUUUAUCAAUACAUAGACGGCAUGCUCAUGGGAGGGAGCCAGGUAGAGGACGUUGAGAGAACACAGUGCAACAUUAUUGCUCACCUAGAGCAGACAGGGCUGACAAUUCCGUCUGAAAAGAUCCAAACUCCCUCCAGUGAAGUAAAAUUUUGGGGAAUCUGGUGGAGGGGGGGGAUGACCUGCAUUCCCCCGGAUACCCUGUCCUCAUUAGACUCAAUUAAAAUGCUGGAGUCCAAAAAGGACCUGCAACAUGCUCUAGGGCUGCUCGUAUUUUGGAGGAAGCACAUUCCUGAUUUUUCAAUUAUUGCCAGGCCAUUAUAUGACGCUGAAAAACAGUACACUACGUGGGAGAAGGGGAUGUUUGUAGUCAGCCUCACCCUAAGGGAGGCUGAACGAACUAUUCGAAAGCAACCCAUAGUUCUCCAAGGUCCGUUUAAGGUGACCAAAGCAGUCCUGGCAGGGACCCCGCCCCCUGACGGGGUGGCUCAGAGAGCCUCUGUACGAAAAUGGUACACACAAAUACAGCACUAUUGCAAAGUCUUCUCCGUAACAGAGGGAGCUGCUAAAGUUUUAAAUAUACAAGAUGAGGCAGACUUGAAUAAAGAAACCCCCCAACUCCCCUCUGUAAUUCUAGUAGCUCCCCCAUUUUCCAAUCAGAUCCUAAAUGCUUCCUCAAAGCAGAAAGGGAAAACCUGGAGAUACCAGGCUGUGGCGCUGCAAGUGGGGACUAAGGAGCAGAUCAUUACAGAGGGAGAGGGCAGUGCGCAGGUGGGAGAGCUGGCUGCAGUGUGGAGCGUAUCCCAAUGCAAAGGCCAGGCUACCUCCCCUGUACACAUCUACAUGGACUCAUAUAUGGUGUUCAAAGGCUGCCCAGAAUGGCUUCCUUUUUGGGAGCAAAACUGCUGGGAGGUUAAUAGAAUAAUAAAUAUACUUGGAGAGCAAAAGAUGCUAGUGGGAAAACCCACAAGAUUCACACAAAAUGGAUUAUUCCCUCCUUCUGACCUGAGGAGCGAGUUUGUUCUUAUUUAUGUUUUCAAGGGUGGUGGUCUGACCAAGAUGCACCUACUACUCUGGACCAUCCUGAUUCAAGGAUGCAUCCACGAGGGCAACGAACGACCACUCCCUCUACCUUCCCCCAACUCAUUUAAUCUCUUCGAGAACAACGAGUUCGUGUUGCUGGUGAAAGCAGUAAGCCAAACUUUCAAUUUAAGCCACUGCUGGGUUUGCGGAGGACCGCUAGGGUUAUCAAGCUGGCCGUGGACAUCCACAUCCCUCACCCCAGACCAGAUCGUAAGCAAUUACAGCGAAACCGUGGACGACAUGUGGGACGACAGUGGGACCUGGCCAAUUCAGUUUCCAGCCAUGGAGCAAUAUUGUUUAAUUCGUACCCAGGAGGGAGGGAUCGAAGUGGGGGAAAGUAAAUGUCGAUGGACACUCACUCAUAAGCCGCUUGACAAAAACAGGAAUCUCCACCUAUGGAUGUGGCUCAAUGAAACGGGGUGUCAUCGGGGACUUGAGGGAUACUGGUCAAACAAAAACAAAACUUUAACUCUCCAACGACCCAAUUAUCCCCCUUACAAGCAAACCUGCAAAUGGGAAGGCACUUCUGGGGCUUGGUAUUAUACCGGCCAAAUAGGUGAUGGGGCAACCACAUUUUUCAGCCCUCUGGGCGACAGAGACACAACUUACUUUCAAUUCCCACCAGGGAUAAACGGGCCAUUUGCUCAGGGCAUUGGAGCUAAGAAGGGGCAUUAUUGGAUCUGCAGACACACAGCAUAUAAAUUUUUACCCGCGGGGUGGUCGGGAAUUUGUUAUACAGGGAUUAUCAGACCUUUGUUUUUCCUUUUACCAGAAACAGGCGGACCUUGGUUAGGCAUAAAAGUAUAUGAUAACCUCGGAGACAGAAGGGUUGCCCGUAAGACGCGAUCCAUUAAGGUAGAUUUGGGUGAGAUGCAAAAAUGGGGAAAUAAUGAGUGGCCUCCUGAACGAAUAGUUCAACAUUACGGGCCUGCAACCUGGAAUCCUAAUGAACUAAUAUCGGGGGCAAGAGAACCAAUUUACAACCUAAAAGUGGCUCUAGAAAUUAUUACCAACAAAACCGCUGAUGCAAAAGAUCUUUUAACUCUGCAGUCCCAACAGAUGCGCACGGCAAUCCUUCAGCACCGCAUGGUUUUAGACUAUCUGUUAGCUGAAGAGGGAGAGGUGUGUGGGAAAUUAAAUAUUUCCAACUGUUGUUUAGAAAUAGAUGAUGUAGGCGAGGUAGUUCUCCAGUUAACCAAAGAUAUCAGAAAAAUAGCCCAUGUCCCCGUCCAAACCUGGAACGGCUGGAGUGGCAAUUUGUGGUCCUGGUUACCGGGGGCACCGUGGGUGAAACAGUUAAUAUUGUAUUUGUUAGGUGCAGUUGCCGCUUUAAUGUUUUUACCUUGUACAAUUCCUUGCUUUGUUCAAUUAAUCCGACAUGCAAUUUGUUCCUACCACCUCACCCGACGGCAUAAAGAAAAUCCGUGCCAUCUAUUGGCCACAGCCAACCACAGUACCCAUCAUUUAAACCCAUUCCCAGUUUACCCUGAAGGAGGAAAUUGCAUAUUGACAUCCAUACCGCAUUUGCCAGCUGUUAUACCUGUUGUAACAAUCACUUACCUUCGUUAACUCAAUUUUGAUGUGUGUUCUGUGAAGUUAAAAGUUGCUAAAAUUGUUAAAGCAUGAGCUUGCAUUGGGCAACACCUCUGUGUAACCACUGUUAAGCACCUUUUACCUGAACCUGUAUCGUUCCUUUUACUCUUCCCAUGACUUGUUCUACCCUUUCUAUACUUCUUUCUGAUAUCUCUCUCUCUAUCUCAUAUCACCACUGUGGAUGAAGACUUCAGGAAGGAGACGUACCAAUCAAUGUUUAAGUCACGGGGUGGUGUGGCGGACAGAUGAAUGAAUUUUUUGCCUUAAACAUUUCUUGGUGCAUGGGGUGCAGGCAGGCCAUAACCCCGAACAAGCCAUCUGUCCCUGGCGGAAACAGGACUGGGCUGCUGCGACCCCUGAGAUGGUCUCCCUGCGACCACCCGGAACACACCGAGCCUGCACUGAACGAGACCACAGUCGGGCAGAGACUUUGGGAUCUGUUUUUAGCACAACUUCUAUAAAACUUGCUUGGCAUGAGUGGCUAAAUUUGCUGAAGCCUUAGGCCGCACUCCCUAGUUUGGUGAGAAAGGGCCCCAGAGCUGGUGCAGGCGGGAAUGAUAAGGGAGUUACCAGCAAUUUGCAUUCCUGUGCACUGCUGAAACAGUGCUAAUUGCUGGAGUUACCACCUCUUUGUCAAGACCUUGAGAGAUGAUGGUGGGACCCGAGGAAGGAAGACACACCUAUAGGAAGGAAGACACACCUGUCUGCAGAAACUGCAACAGAAAAGAUAAGGGAGAAAAGAAACAGCCUGCCUAGGAACAACGAUGAGAUCCAAUAAGGAGCAGGAGACCCCAGACUCAAAAAUUACUAUUGGUCUGAACUACCACGUGGGGGGGUGGGAAACUUAAUUUGAAAAAGCUAUAAUUGCCCAGGGACCUCUUUGUUCAGGGUCCCUCUUUGGAGGUACCCAACUCGAGCUGUAACCACUGCACGCGUGUCAUUCCGAGCUAACCUAGGGUCGGACCCAACUCGAGUUGUAAUUACUGCACGCGCACCACCAAAACUUACACCCAGGGUGAAGAGGAGCCACCUACCACCAGACGGGAGCCCCCCCCACUGCCGAGACUCCCAAAGGAAGAGGACCAACAGGACGCCGCUGGAUCCACGGGUGGUGAUAUCUUUCUCUCUCUCUCUCUCUCUCUCUCUCUUUCCCCUUCUCUUUUGUUGAAUGUUGGUAAGAUCUGUUUUGUCUAGCUAGUUGCAGUAUUCACCAUUGAAUUAUCCUAUUUGACCACAUGCCUUAUCUUUGUGUUAAUAAAUCUUAAAACUGGU